AUGUCAAAAUGCAUCGGUAGGGGAGCGUUCCGCCUUAGAGGGAAGCAACCGCGAAAGCGGGGGUCGACGAAGCGGAAGCGAGAAUGUCGGCUUGAGUAACGAAAACAUUGGUGAGAAUCCAAUGCCCCGAAAACCCAAGGUUUCCUCGGCAAGGUUCGUCCACGGAGGGUGAGUCAGGGCCUAAGAUCAGGCCGAAAGGCGUAGUCGAUGGACAACAGGUCAAUAUUCCUGUACUACCCCUUGUUGGUACGGAGGGACGGAGGAGGCUAGGUUAGCCGAAAGAUGGUUAUAGGUUUAAGGA
rnacentral:ncRNA from 1 species